AAAAUGUCUAUCAGUUUUUCUUUUGUUCUUUCCAGAUCCUGUUCAAGUGUACACUGAGCCAGCAGGUUCACCAGAAAGCUAUUGAGCCCUUGCUGGAGCACAUUAUGCAGGGUGGAUGUCUUCUGGAUUGUUGCCAAGGGUUUUAUGCUUCUGUGAGACUGGAUCUCCUCCAUAACCUCUUGGUGUUGGAGACUCACAGUCCUGCAGCCAGAGAAGAAGAACCAUUGGCUCAAUGGUGAUCACAUGACGUUUGGUGUAAUGUACUACUCAUAUUGUGAUUCACAUCAAAAUAUAAAAACAAUUUCUGGGUUCCUAACAGCAAUUAGCAAAGAAGAGAGAAUGCCACGAAAAUCUGGAACUACUCAUCUAGCCACAGCCAUUGCUUUCCAAAGGGACCUUCAUGGGUGAGCCAUAGAACAGCUGUUCCUGAAUGCACCAUUUCCAUAUUCUC
rnacentral:lncRNA from 1 species